GUUUGUAUGAGAAACUACAUUAUUUAAAUAGAAAGAUGAAGUUAGUAAGAUACGACCUUACUUGAACAGGAUCUGUUCUAUAGGUUGUACAACUGUGUCCUUGAGUUCUAAGGAGAUAAGAAUCAAAGUCUGGUGGAUGAAUUAUUUGCCUUGUAACUAGAGCGUGAGUAACUGCCAAUGAACCUUGGCUUCAGUGGCUGUAGAUGAUCGUUCUCAGCAGGCUCCAACCUACUGGGAUUGGUUACAAGGUGAUCUGACAGACUUCAAAUAAUUUUUCCUCCUCUGUAUUCAAAUUAGAUGUUGGUAAAUCUUAUUUCACAAGAUGGUGUGAUCCAAAAAAGAAGGUCCAGUUGUGCUUUAUUAUCGCAUUGAUGGUGUUUCUAGGUGGAAGAAGCAACAAAUUUCAAGACCACUUCUUUGUUACUCAUGAUUUGUGGUGCAUUCUCUUUAUAUGUCCUUGUGCAUUCUCGUUUUUUAUUGGACUAUAUAUGAAGGAAAGAAAGCAUCUAUAAUUCCCAAUCGAUUAGAGCCUCCUUUAGGUUGACUUGGAUUAAGAGAAACAACGGCUUACUUGACAACACCAUUGUUUUUUAUAGAUUUUUUUUCAACUUCACCAAUCUAUUAAGUCUUAACCAAUGAAUCUCAGAAGUACACCAACGUCUUAACCAAUGUAUCUAAAGGCUUAAGUGCAGAUCUUAUACAACAGUAAAAUGUUUGAGUUGUUUGUCUUGUAUUUUCCAUAAUGAAGUUCCAUUAAUCACAAGUUUUUCAACAAGGCUCUGUCUGAUUUCCUCUUGGCAUUGGGUUUUGGACUGAGAAAGGCUAGAAAGUAUACAUUCAGCACAUGUUCAGCUUUGCACUUGUUUGUAUUGGCUAUGUUUCAGUUAUUUCAUUUAUCCAAAGUUGGUCGUAUUAUACCAGAAUAUGUAGUAUGAUUAUGUGUAAUUAGUCAGCCAGCUGUGAGUUUUGUUGACCCCCAUGAAUAUUUAUACAUUUCAUUCAUGGAGAAUUCAAUCGAAUGACGUUUUCUCUGCCGCACAAUUUCUAUGGCAAAUUAAACUGUAGUGAAAGCUCCUUCUACACGUUCAACAACUUCAUCUCAAUGUCAUAACUUAAUGUUCUUUAAACACAGUUUCAAGCAGCCAAAUCUGUGGCUAGGACUUGUUCGACAUAUAAGGUAGGUACAUGAUAUAGUUCUCCCUUGCCUGUAUACUUGUCUGGGUGGUAAAUUAUUGAUUUUGGUGCUUCCAUGCACAUUUGUUUAUUUGAAGGAGUUAUUUGAGCCAUUAUCUUAUUUUCAACUUCUGUUAUUUUGCUGAUCGGCGCAGUUCCUGAGUGCAUUAUGUUGGCACUAUUUGAUUAUUAAAUUUGUUAUAUUUUCAGGAGGUUCUAUUGUUACCCAGUUUCAGUAUAAUUUGCUUUCUGUUAGUAAAUUAACCAAGGACACAUCUAUUAUUCUUCAAUUUCUUGGUUACAGGACAAGUGGUGCAGCUUGAGGAUAAUUGGGAAUGGUUGUUUGAACCAUGGCUUGUUCUUACUUGAUGUUUCAGUUACUGGAUGAGUUUCUGUUGUUUCUCCUAAUAAAUUAUGUGUUCUAUUGUUCUGCUCUAUAGCAUAGUUGUCAUCUUCACCUUUCUUAUUGUUCUCUGAACUCCUUGAAAUGAACUUUGAAUUUGGUUCUUCAACAGAACAUUGUGAUGGUCGUUGUCUUGUUUGUUCUCUUGCUAAAAAACGGAGAAUGUCAUUCAUAUCAAACAACCAUUAUUCUGCGAGUUGGACCUUCUUUUUUGGAUCACACUAUCUUAUGAAAUAAGAUUUACAACAUUCAAGUCGAGUACCUGUACGAUCAAUCAUCGCUUCAAUCACUUGAACAUUUAAAAGGCCUACCAUUUAGAUAGACAAAGAGGUAACAUAUCAAAGAUUGAAAAUUUGAAAUAGAUGCAUCCAAAAACAAAGCUACCCAAACCUUUAGUAAUAUCUCCUUAGAAGAAGAAUGGAAAAGAAACUAAAAGACUCCAACAGACAACAUUCUUGCGGUGAAUUUGAGCUUAGCUGCAGCAAUUGUAAAACAAAAGGACAAAGUAACCAUAUAAGCAUCAGUAAAACGGUUAGCCUCAGGUUUCAGAGACAUAUCAUCCAACACCUUACGAGCAUAAACCAAAUACCCACGAUCGUAUUAAACCCCGUCUUUUUAAUCUCAAACCACCAUAGCAGUAUUACAAAUUCAAACCCAUUCAAGAAUUUAGCUAUAUCAUAUGCAUUUGUGAUUUGGGCUUUCGGAUUUGCAUGAAAUCGGUGACUUGGGUUUUUUGAUUCACAUGAAGUUGGUGGUUGAGGUUUUUGAUUUAGGGCUCGACAUCAUUUGGUGGGUUUGGGUGUAGGAUCUGAGUGAUAGAAGUUUUACAAAUAGCAAGGCGAUAGGGUAAAUGGAAGAAAAUGACUUAACGAAGAAAUAAAACUAAGAACAGAGAGUGAGAUAUGAAGAGCGAGACACUGAGAGAAAGCAAGACAAUAAGAAGAAGAGGAUGACAUACAAGAGAAUUUAAGAUUAUAGAGCGAGAGCGAGUAUCUAAGAGUGAGAUAGAUAGAUAUACUAUUAAGACCAGAGAGAGUAAAAAGACUUUGACUACUUACUUUAUUUCCUUUGGUUUAGCUAAUGAGACAAAUUGUUUUGUAUAUGCAGAUCUACGAUGUCAACAAGUUUAAAGAUAUCUGAGUGUGAUUGCUUUCCUGGCCAAGUAUCGAGCGGACAAGAUUGCCAAGGACAAGCUUACCACCAAGCAGCUUGAGAUGUUCAGGAGAACAAUCUGGGCAGUUUGCGGACAACAACUUUGUUUUCAACAAUCUCGUUGUCCAUCACAUGUUGCUAAGAUAAGUUAAGGCCUAGAAAGCGAAUGCUAUGAGCUUCUCCAUAAAGGGUGCAAUUGUUAUAUUUUCGAAGGACCAGUUUCUGUCGAGGACUAGUUUGUGGUUGGCCCUCGCUCAAGUGGUUUGAACUAAGGAAGCUUCUUAAGAAUUAGAGAGGAAAUAUUUAAGUAAUAGGUAUAGGUCUAACCCAUUCCACAUCAAUGUUUUGGAAAAACAAUAAAAGCAGUUGGAGUUUCAGAAUAAUGACGAUGUGGUGAAGAUUAUCUUAAUGUAUUACAUCGAGGUUGUAAUGAUGGAGAAGAUUAAAUAGAAGAGUGCAGUUGAUCGAGAACUCUUUGAGACUAUAGAGGGCCUAGAAUACUAUAACAACAUGGAUUGGGGAAACAUUAUUUGGGAGAGGACACUAGAGGAUCUUCAGACUGCAUUGAAAGACAAAGUUGGGAUCUAGAAAAAGAAAGUCAAAUCAAACAAAUACUUCAUUGAGAAGUACUCUCUUCGUUGGUUUCCUCAAGCUAGGUACCACAUGUUGUAUUUUUCUUAUUUUUUGGUAUAAUGACCCUUAACUUUGAAUAUAUAUAUAUGUCAUUUUUAGGUA